GGGUGUUAGGGCACGACACCGGAGAGGGAGCCUGAGAAACGGCUACCACAUCCAAGGAUGGCAGCAGGCGCGCAAAUUACCCAAUCCCGACACGGGGAGGUAGUGACAAUAAAUAACAAUACGGGGUUCUUUAGGAUCUCGUAAUUGGAAUGAGUACAAUUUAAAUCUCUUAACGAGGAACAAUUGGAGGGCAAGUCUGGUGCCAGCAGCCGCGGUAAUUCCAGCUCCAAUAGCGUAUAUUAAAGUUGUUGCAGUUAAAAAGCUCGUAGUUGAAUUUCGGGGUUAGUAGGUUGGUCAUGCCUCUGGUAUGUACCGGUCUCACUGAUUCCUCCUUCCUGAUGAGCCGUAAUGCCAUUAAUUUGGUGUUGCGGGGAAUUUGGACUGUUACUUUGAAAAAAUUAGAGUGUUUAAAGCAAGCUAACGCUUGAAUACAUUAGCAUGGAAUAAUGAAAUAGGACGUUCGAUCCUAUUUUGUUGGUUUCUAGGAUUGACGUAAUGAUUAAUAGGGAUAGUUGGGGGCAUUAGUAUUCAAUUGUCAGAGGUGAAAUUCUUGGAUUUAUUGAAGACUAACUACUGCGAAAGCAUUUGCCAAGGAUGUUUUCAUUAAUCAAGAACGAAAGUUAGGGGAUCGAAGACGAUCAGAUACCGUCGUAUCUUAACCAUAAACUAUGCCGACUAGGAUCGGAUGAUGUUAAUUUUUUAAUGACUCAUUCGCGCCUUACGGAACA
rnacentral:rRNA from 1 species